rnacentral:rRNA from 1 species
UACAGAGGCCUCGAGCGUUAGGCGGAAUCACUGGGCUUAAAGCGUGUGUAGGCGGACUUCUAAGUGCCUUGUGAAAUCCCACGGCUCACCCGUGGAACUGCUGGGCAUACUGGUCGUCUUGAGCCACCUAGGGGCUGCCGGAACAAAUGGUGGAGCGGUGAAAUGCGUAGAUAUCAUUUGGAACGCCAAUGGUGAAAACAGGUAGCUGGGAGUGUGCUGACACUGAGACACGAAAGCCAGGGGAGCAAACGGG